rnacentral:rRNA from 1 species
AUUGAACGCUGGCGGCAGGCCUAACACAUGCAAGUCGAACGGUAACAGGAAGCAGCUUGCUGCUUCGCUGACGAGUGGCGGACGGGUGAGUAAUGUCUGGGAAGCUGCCUGAUGAAGGGGGAUAACUACUGGAAACGGUAGCUAAUACCGCAUAAUGUCGCAAGACCAAAGAGGGGGACCUUCGGGCCUCUUGCCAUCGGAUGUGCCCAGAUGGGAUUAGCUUGUUGGUGGGGUAACGGCUCACCAAGGCGACGAUCCCUAGCUGGUCUGAGAGGAUGACCAGCCACACUGGAACUGAGACACGGUCCAGACUCCUACGGGAGGCAGCAGUGGGGAAUAUUGCACAAUGGGCGCAAGCCUGAUGCAGCCAUGCCGCGUGUAUGAAGAAGGCCUUCGGAUUGUAAAGUACUUUCAGCGGGGAGGAAGGGAGUAAAGUUAAUACCUUUGCUCAUUGACGUUACCCGCAGAAGAAGCACCGGCUAACUCCGUG